ensembl:lncRNA
UGCGCAUGCGCAGACAGAGUGUGCGAGCGGCGGGCCUUGACCUUUCGGGAAAAAAAACUCACGGACGGUGACAGCGAAACGGAUAACAGUCUUCAGUACCUGCUGGACUUUGAAGCUGUGGAUUCUGGGACUGUUAGAAAAGAGGCAGCGGCGAGAGGGGAGACCUCGGCUCAUCCAGCUGGAGAGCCUGACCAGGAGGAGUCGAACAUUAACUCAGCUCUUCCAGGGCACCCUGCAGACUCGGCUGCUGGCAUCGGCGAGGGAUGACGUGAACGCCAAACUGGAGUCCAUCACAGGUCAACUGCAGCUCCUUGUCUCAGAGUGGGAGGGAUUUGAAGCACAAAGGGAGGAGCUUGUCGUUUGGUUGGCUGAUAUGGAUGUCCGCCUGAGAGGUUGACCAGCUGACAGGAAACACCAGUGAAAAACUGAAACAACUGCAGGUGUGGGCUUGUUUUGAUAUGACAUAUGUUUGAUAUGAAACAU